UGUCACUUGCCUGGAUGCAAUCCACCACUUCUGGCUGAGCUCCAGGCUCAGACCCGGUGCUUGGAGAUCCUGGAGCACCGCUGGCCAAGGACACAGACAAAGCUGAGGGGCCAUCCAAAGAGCUCGCUGCCUCAUCUAGGAGCAGAAAUAAGAUGCAGACGCACAUCCACACCAUGAGAGACUUCAUACUGGACUCAGCGGCGGGAGAGAUGGGUUGUGGUCCAAUUAGACUAAUAAUUCCACCUUUUGAAAGGUUAGUUCCCUUCUUCGGAUCCGUAACCCAGGCGUAGUCUAACUGUUAAAAAAAAAAAUCAAUAUUCUCAUCCAACUCCCAAAUAAACACGCACCCUUUGAGCAAAAAAAAAAAAGAAAAAAAGAAAAAAAAUCCUCGACUCCCAAUAAGAUAAUAAUCCACAAAUUUUUGGCAACAAUAGCCUAACCCCGACACAGAAAAAUUCCCUGAAGUGAAUAAAAAGAAAAAAAAAAAGACAAAAUGGCAAUCAAGAAACCAAUCAGUCAGUCAAUCCAUGAAAGCAGUUUCUCGUUGUCCGUCUGCGCUGCGUACAUACCGACAAACUACUGAGACUUGAUCUCUCCGCAUUAUAAGGGACUCAGUCUGCCCACUCCAAUUGAUCCUUGGAGACAAAUUUGUCCCUAACAGUCCUCAAACUGCUGUGAAAUGAUGUGCCAGUAUCUCUGAAGAACUCAGCUGAAAAGUGCUGUUAAACGCUGGCAGGAUUUUUUUUCCCCCCCUCACCACUGGCUCUCUCAAAAAGCUUUGCGCUCCUCUGGAGGGAGUGAACGCUCCUUUUUCACUGACUGCAUGCGUGUCGAGGCAUCGCAGCAGUUUAUAAAGAGGGGCUUCUGUGCGUCGAAAGAGGGCGCUGCAGAUGGGCGCUCUCAUUGGAAACCCUGGCACACAUAAUAAAUGUUACCCCACAGAACAAUCGCCUGAACAUUCUUCUAAUUUUCCUGCUGGGAGAAGAUGCACCUGUGGUCUUCAGCAUAUGAAACUACAGUGACCCCACCUGGCCUGUGUGGCUUUUUUUCUUUUUUUUUUUUUGGCUUUUUUUAUUAUAUUAUAUUUCCUGUGGUACUGCCAUAGGAUGUUGUGUGAAAGCCUAUAUGCAUCCUUAUAUGAUUGUUACACUUUUCAUAGGAGAGCUUUUACAGUUCUGUUUAGUAAUAAUCUGUAGAAGAGUGAAGGCUACAACUGCAACAUGUCAAAGAGGGAAUUCUGACGAAAUAAUAAGUGUAUUGGCAACUUGCGCUUAUAGCAAGAUUGUCCAGUCAGCUAACACAUAGUGAAUCUUUUAUUCAAGAACUCUGCAAGGUCACUUGGCCAAUUCAUUUCUGGCUGACAUCAGGGGUUCAUUCCCACAACCCAUAGAAUUCUGCAAAUGAUUCUCAGGCAUAGGGUUCAAAGGUGGGUUCGACAAUAGUCAUGAAAAUGCCACCAUUUAUUUCAGCAAUAAACCAACACUUCACAGAACAUCCGCGCUUCCUCUGAUUGAAAGAAAGAUAUUAAAAAAGAAAAAAAAAUGAGCACAAUGUCUCAUUAUAUUUUCACUCAAAGGAAAUAGCAAAGCCCACAAACCGCAGAAUCUGCCAUUUUUCAAAGUGGCUUCACAUUAAACAAAAUGACUAGGUUGUGCAUCGCUGCUUAAAUGGUGCCUAGAAUGUCAUAAAUCUCUACAAAUCUCGAAAACAAAGUCUCUAUUUAGCGGCUGUGACAGUGACAAAUGGCAGGGCCACUCGCUCGUAAUGAUGUUUGACUGUCAGUCCAACGUCCCUUCCAACAGGGAAAAGGGCUCGCUAUUACAGUGGAAACAUCAGCCCCAUUCUGCCUACAUUGGCCCAACCUUAUUCUCCGCUCUCGAGUUUGCAGUCGCUGUCAUUAUGACGCCAGCGUAAAGCGUCAUCAUGCAUCUGUCCUGGAUUAGCACUGACUGACAUUCCUCUCAUGCACAUUUGAAACUUUUGCUUUUCAAGCGUUUCUUCCAAACAUGAGACAAUUAUAUUCUUUUAUUUGAGCAGAGAACAGAGAGUUGUUCAAAUAUUUUUUCACUGAAGAUCAGUUGCAUAAACUCUAUAAAGUUUACAGUUGCCUGGGCGGUAGACUCAGAAGCAAAACGACAUUUCUAAUAAUGCAAGAAAAAAAAAAGCAUGAAAUCAAGGGAGUCAAUCAAAGAGAUAGUGUGCAAUAUGUAUAAGCCCUCGUCUCACUUCUUUUUUUUUCUUGUCAGGUCCAGGCUGGAUUUUAUUCUUGAUGACACUGCAGGAUUCACCCCCUCUCUGUGCUUAUUUAAUUGCUCCAUUCUGACUUCAUAAAGCAUCUGCAGUUUUUUCACGUGUAGAAUUAGCCCACAGAGAAACACACACACACACACACACACACACACACACACACACACACGUGCAUGGUACCACAUCUGUACACUCUUUCAUAAAUACCCAUAUGCUUAUGUGCACAGUCCAUGCAGAGAGAUGCACGUAAUGUAUAUGUCAGAUAAGCGUGCUCCCAUAAGAUUGAGACCGUGAAGAUUGGGAAUGACAAAUCUGGAUAUAGAAGACACUCUUCUCACUGCUGAGGGAAAUCACUGGAUGCCUUUCACAAGUGUGUCUAAUAUGGUGAAUAUAGAUGGAAUCAUCGUGAGUUCAUGGGAUAUGAAAUGAUGAUACAUUAAACAAUCAUAUUUAAGACUCUGUGCAGUAACUUGUGUAGUGAGACGGCAUGGGGUUUGAAAUGCUCACUCUAAAAUGAGACAGUCCACACUGUCAUUUUGAAAUACUUCCAUACAAAUGUGCAUGUGAUUUUAUUUGUUUCAGUCUGUGCAUGUUUCACUGAUGCCUGUGGCCAGAGCAUUUGGCAUUUGUCAUUUAAAUUCCACUUAGCCGAAACCAAGAAAUGUAACCUUUGAUGUGUUAAUUAUCUAGAAUAACACCUUGACUGAGCCAUCGAUCCUCAUCAUCCAUUGAUUCUUUAGAUUUGGGCAACGCUGAUAAUACCAUGAAGCGUAGCAUGAGAUCUAUGUGAGGGCAAAGGUUACUGCAUCUUUUUCUGCUGGUAAAGCCCAUUGGAGAGAGCACUGAUGAACCCAAGAUUCAGACCAUACAUUAUAAGCACACACACACACACACACAUACCCGCAAGCACUCACAGACACACAUGCAAGCACUCACAGAGGUGAAGCAUGGCUGAUUAGAUUAGGAAUUAUAGGCUAAUUAAUGUGUAUCUUGGGAGACUAGCAUGCUUAUUAGAAAACACAGCCAGAGUUGAACAGAGAACAUGACAAGAACAUAAGCGUUCAUAAUCCCCGGCCUUAAAUUCAUUUAAACAGUACAUUAUAGCUCUACUCCUUCCUAUUUUAUCAGUGUAAUAUGAAGCCAAAUGUGAAACCGCCGUCUGAUAAGGUUGGGACUUGAUUUUGAAAAAUAUCUUUAAAAUGUUCCCACUAAAAUGCUUGACUAAAAGCCGAUAUUGAAAUAUUAAAAAAAAAGGGAAAAUAUUUCAAUAUUCUUCAAGCUUCCGCACAGAGUGUCUGUAUCAGGCACAGAGCCCAAAGUCAGUUCAAAUCAGUCCUUUCAAAUCAAUGUGAGAAGGAAAAUAGCCAAUACAAUAAAUCAAUUGCGGAGAUGGUGGAGUGACAAAUGCAGCUUUAGGCUACUUCACAUUAUAUGUAGGUCCUGUGUGUUACAGUCUCCCUGUUUUCUGUCCAGCUCACAGUUGACUAGAGUGGGACGGUUUACCACAUCGAAACAACAAGCGGCUGUUGUUCAAACGUCAGGUCCCAAAUGUCAGCGUUUGUGUAUACGACAGCUUAGUUUUGGGUUGGUUUGAGCGGACAGAACGACGUUUCUGAUGUGACCUCCGCUAGACUCUCUGGAGGCUAUCGACCAGUUAGAUCCAUUUGUUUUCCAGGCAUUUCAGACGUUGUCCAUUUCUAUCACAUUACUGUGACAUAAAUUGAAUUUUCUCUGAUGCAUUUUUAUGUAUCCUAAGUGCUGUUCUGUUCUCCCUGGGAGUAUAGCGUUUCCAGUGGUGUGAUGAGGCAAAAACACUUUGUGUUUUAACAGAAAAAAGGGAAACAUAUUUUAUUUAAAUGUGUGUAUUGAUUUUAAUGUAUUUUUCCCACUGACAAUAUUAGUCCUUCCAAGUAAGUAGCCUUAUUAGCUGUUUGGUACCUAAAGGGGUAUUUAAAAUUCUUACAAGGGCACAUUAAAACACACAGAGGACAGUCUACAUCUGUGUGCUGAGGCUAUGCUGGGCUAGUUGUCUUGUUAUUGUCCAAGAGAUUGUCAUCUUUCUUAAUGUAAUGGCAGCAAACUGAGGACAUGCUCCUAUUUCUAUCAAGCAGG